UCUAUUUCAUAUCUAUUCAUAUAUAAUAGGAGAGGCAAAGCAAGGAUAUGAUGACAAGUGUCAUCACCAGAAAAAUCUCAAAUUUAAAAAGAAAAAUAAAUAAAUAAAACACUUAGCAAACUUAUUAAGAAAUAAAAAACUGCAAGUUGCGAAACAGUGACAUCAUCGCAAGUGUGUAACCACAAAACUCAAAUUUAAAGUAGAAACAGAAAAAUGAAAAAAAAAAAAAAAAAAAAGAGAAAAAAAAAGUGGCACUUCACAAAACACGCAUACUACACAAAAACUGCGAAAUAAAACUGCCCACUCACUUUUAUCCCGCUUAUUUUUUAGAGUUCCAAUAAGUGAUGAUAACCUCUUCCACUUGCUCCAAUUUCCCACUCUCUCCCUCUCUUCUCUUUUUCAGUUUCUCCAGAAAAAAAAAAAUUGUGCAAUUUAGUAAAAUCAAUCUUGAUUUUUUUUCUUAUCCUAUUGUUCAAUAGAUCUAUAUUUAAUUGAUUUUUUUCUUUGUGGGAUGUAAAAGUGCAGGGUAUGUACAAAUUUCUGAAAGAGAAGGCUUGGAUUUGAAUGCUGAAGCCAUUUUUAAAUCUGUUUUUUGAAUAGGAUAUACAGCAUUCAUUUUGAAGGGGGAAAUCAAAUUUUGAAGAUAAAAGAUGUUCCAUGUCACAAUAACGAACGAUACCGAAUUCGGUUAUUGGGAAGGACAGUAUCUUCAGCAAGGGAUGUUUGCUACGCAAAAGAACGAUCUUAUUCGGUGUCAACAGAUGACACAGAAAGGGAUGAGCUUUUCCAUUGAGAUGAUUUCCUACAAAAACUAUUUAUGUUUGGGUUCUUUAGAAAACCAAUUGCUUAAUACUUUUUACUUUUUAAUUGGAUGUUGUCAUAUAGAUUUCCCUAUCGUUUCCAGGGAUCAAAGCAAUGAUAGGGAAAAUGUUAUGUCUGUGAAAUUGUGAACCUGGGAGAGUCCCACAUUUUUUCUUUACGGUUGAUGGUUAUUAGUGGCUGUUAUUGCAUGCUUAUGUUGAGCAGGAAUGAUAUCAGAUCUGACCAUCAAACGAAGAAAGAUAUGCAGGAUCAAGAAGGGGAUGUGACUGAUGCAGAAACAGAUGUGUAAUUUUCUUAGUUUGUAUCAUUCUCAUGGAUGUAGGUAGCCGUGAAAUCUAGGUCAUUGACAGAUAGAGAAGGAGGCUAUUAGAGUAAACCAUGAUAAGGUAUGUAGUUUUGUGUUUCACUUUCCCUCUAAUCAUUUUUCUACUCUUAUAUCUGUAAAGCACUGUAUUUUUUCUUUGAACAUGAUUAUUAUAUAGAGAUAACACUGAUGAAUGUAUUUGCUUCAUGACAACACUGAUGAAUGUAGGAGGUUGUUAUUUAGAUCCUGACCUGCCAAAGAAUUAUUUUGAUCACAUUCAGAAUCGUAGCAGAGACAGAAUAUAUGCUUUUGAUUAUGCAUUUGGACCUAAAUCCACAAAUUUAGCAAGUAUUUCGUCUUAUCUGCAUGGAAUUUCAAUUGAAAAACUAAACUUUUAUUUGAAAUACAAGGUGUGCAACAGUACUAUGUCUAUACAUAUGCUAUUGUUCUAUUGUAACACGUCUCUAAUCUCUUAUAGGUUUGGAGAAUUAGGGGGAUCUUUCAAGUAUCAACUACAAUGGGAUUAAUACUAAUUUUCAGAGUUUGAGAAUAUCAUAUUAUUUGCUUUAUAAAAGGGCUCAAUGUAAAAUUGAUGGUGGAUAGCAGAAGGAGUUAUUUCAACAAAUUGUGAAUUUUUGUUUUUGUGUUAUUUCAAAGCACGAUUUCUAAUUUGCUUUUGCUUUUAAUGUUUUAGAACUUUAGGAAUCGAUAGUACAUGUUCUUUUAUUUUUUUUUAUUCUUUGCCUUCACCUCUAAAUUCAAUUUGAUGUGUCUUUUAUUUUUGACACAAAAUGUAUUUAAGUUGGUGUAAAUCUACACAUUUUGUGUUUAAAUUUAAGUUUAAGUCCUUAUUCGAAAAGGAAAUAUCAUCUUAAAGAUGAUUUAUUGAGAUUUUGCUUCGCUUAUUAUUUUUGAAUCAUGUAAUAUCUUCAUGUUGUUUGUACCACAGACUUAUAUAAUAGAGAAUAUCAUAGCUAUGGGUUUUCCUAAAAGCGACAUGAGCUCUGGUAUCUUUGGAUAUGUCGAGGUAAAGAUCGCCCAUAAUUACUUUUUUAUAAAUUUUCCACUUAUUCCAGACCUGCAUUUCUCAAACAUAUCAGAUUGGAUGAUACUGGGGUUCCAUAGAAAUCACAUGGAGGAAGUGAUCAAUUUUUUCGAGACUCAUCAUCAGGUACUUAAGUAAACCUGAUCGCUUUUUCUCCCCAAUAAGUCUAUUGAAGUGCAUCUUAUACUUUUUACAAGAAUACAGCUUCUCGAAACACUAUGAGCCAUGAUUUUGCAGAGUAGAGAGUGCUCCAUGGUUGCUGUAAAAGUGGCUGCUCAUCAUGAUGUUUUUAUGGACCUUCAGUUGCCAACUUCCAUUAGAACAAUUUCCGGUAGUUUCUUAGGGAUGUUAACAUUCAGAAUUUUGCUUUCUUUCAAGUUGUAUUUGUUUUUUGUGAUAGUAGUAUAUAAUGGAGCCUGUCUAACAAGACAACUGCAGUAGCAUUUGAGUGUUGCCUUUCUCAACACUCAAAUAAAUUCUAGAGAAAGGGUGAGAUGAUAAGAGAAAUGCUCUUUUCUUUGCCUUCACCCCUAAAUUUUAUUUUACGGAUUGCAUCUUUAAAAUUCUCACAUUUGUGGAUAUUAACUUUUGCAGUAUGUACUGGUCUUUCGGAGAUUGUUGGACUCGAAUGUACUCAACGAUAACAAUUAUGAUUUACUGGCAGUGGAAAUAUCACUUCCUCCUUUCAUGAAAGAUAAACAAAGGAGGAACAAAACUGCAUAGCAAGGAAUUUUGAUACAAAGAUUCGUUCUAAUAAUGCAGCCCAAAAGGCAAAGGGAAAAAUAUGCAAGCUCCUUGAUGACAUGGUUUACUAUGGCAUGCCUAUGGAUCAGCUCAAUUUUCAGCAUAAAAAUUCAUGUUCUAAUGCAUAUAUAUUAAUUGAGAGUUAUUUUUUAUUGUUUUCUUUUUACUGGCUAUUCAAUUGAUUUGGUUAUUUUGAUUUGUUGAAUAGAGAAAGAAGAAUGAAGGAGGGAGAAGAAGAGUGGCGAAUUACAGAAGAAGGAAAUGAAGAGGGAAAAGCGAAACUAUGACAAAUGAUAUGUGGGUUUUAUUGAAAUCACAUUUUCUUUAAGAAGGUUGUGUCUCCACAUUUUCAUUAAGAAGGUUGUGUCUCCAAAGUCAUCAAUAUCAUCUUGAAGUUUCAAAUGUUUAUUUUUAACGAUGUGUUCUGCUAAAUUAAAAAAAAAAAAAAAAAUCUUUUUUCAAAGUUGUGGUUGAUAUUGUUCUCAUUUUCCUUUUUAUGGUGCUCUUUUCGUUGGUUUUACAUUUGAUGUAGAUUUAACGGUUGUAAAUAUUAAUUAUCUGUUCUUCUAUCCGAUGAAUUGCAUAAUCUCUUAAUUAAAUUAAAGAGAAAAGAAUGCAUCCUGCCUUUGUGCUUU